GCGGCUUUUCAAGUUUUGGGUGAAAUGCCCGGGCUCAACCCGGGAGCUGCCCUUGAAACUGGUGGGCUUGAAUACUGAAGAGGUGAGUGGAAUUCCCAGUGUAGAGGUGAAAUUCAUAGAUAUUCUCAAGAACACCGAUGGCGAAGGCAACUCACUGGACUGUUAUUGACGCUGAGGUGCGAAAGUGUGGGGAUCAAACAGGAUUAGAUACCCUGGUAGUCCACACUGUAAACGUUGAUGACUCGCUGUGUGGGAUACUGGGUCUUGGGUGGCGCAACUAACAUAAUUCAUCCUCCUGGGGAGGAGUACGGCCACAGUAAAACUACUAAGAAGAAAUGGGGGUCCCCUGCACCAGCGGAGCAGGUGGUU
rnacentral:rRNA from 1 species